UAGAAAAUAGUAUAAUAGUGUAAAGCUUGCCAAAUUAAAAUAAUUUUAUUAGUGAACACGAAAAGAACGUUUCAGGCAACAUUCCUUAACCGGGUUUUUAGUGAGACUAAAACAGUUAUUUUAAUUUGGCGAGAUUUUUACCAUUAUUAUAUUUUAUAAAGGUUGAGGUUUCAUAGAAACGAGAAUGGUAGUUGUUCUGACCCAGCCUGUUCUGCGCAGUAAGCUCAGUUCAACAGUCAAGUUGCAUUUGCCGCCAACACCCAAGUGAAAAUAUUUGCAUUAUCUGCAAUCAAUAACUUUUGUCGCCUAAGUUUCAUUAACAAAUAUUUUCUCGUAUCUCCAUAAUUUCAAAUACCCAAGUUUCUAAGUGUUUGGAAAGAAUUUCUCACCUGACUCUAAGGUUCCGUGACAGGUAAUAUAGGACGCUUGCCAUUGGUCCACAUAGCUUUACGGUGUCGUUUUUUUCUUCAACAUUGACAUACGGCAGCCACUGAAUUCAACAAAGCAAUUGACAUUUACCAUAAUAUGUUUCUUCAGUUCGUGGAUAUUAAAAUUUAGUGUUCUCAAAAAGCUGGAUUAGACAUACCGUUGGAUUGACUUAAAAGUGCCCACUGUAAGGAACUGCAGAUCUUCUGGCCGCUUACAAGAGGACUCAAGUGAGUAGUGUAAAGAAAAUCACCAACCCCAAGAUAUAUUUCAAAAAAUGUGAUCCCAUGAUUAGGAUUUCAUUAAUGAAGAUAAUUCUUUGUCUAUCACUUGUUGGUGGUUUUUACAUACUGCAUGGGUCGAUCUUUCACCUUACUAGAGUUGCUUUGAGAAUGAGUUAUGCCGAAUAGGAGAAAAUGCAACAUCAAUUGUUUAUGGGCCAAGGAUGAUCAUCUAACCUAACCUCGUGUCUAUUUCAAAAUGCAUUGUCAGAAAACCUGAAGCACCUUUCAGAGACUGACAGGUUAUCUUUUGCCAUAGGAAAUCAAUAAAUACUGUCUCUUUUUCACUGAUGAUCAGGAGAUGCUAUUAAACAAAACAUUAUAGUGUAUAAAAGCCUCUGACACAACUACUUGGCUGUAGGGAUACAGGCCUGCUUAUCCAUGUCGUUUAGCUAUCGGUAAGGUCAGUUGUAUCAAAACCAAGUUGGUUUCUACUAUUGGUGAUUUGAGCAUUGAUGUGUAACAAACGUGGAAUGCAACCACAUCAUGUGCAAACAUGAAGCUUUGUACAAGAGCAAAUGAUAUUCAAUGUGAGCUGAAGAAACUUUGGGAACCUCAAAAUAAAGAGAUUAAAGUCUAAGUGAAGGUCCCCUAUAGAGAAGAAUUAAUUAAAAUGGUGAGAACCAUUCUGGAGUAAGUAACUAAAAUGAAACAAAGAAUAUCCCCUAUAUGAGCCAUCUGGGCCCUGAAAGUAAUCUUCACGAUCUAUUUAAUAAAAAUGUAAUAACAAAAAUAUUAAAAGUAAUAAAAAUAGAUAUAUUAGAUAUUUUAACCAAUACUGUUAAUGAAAAUAACAUUAAAGAAUUAAGAAAGUUUACUUAAGAACACACAAACAGUAGUUGGUAGCUUCGAAUAAUGUCAUACAUUAAUAUUCUUGAACAUCUUAACAUCAGUAUAAUCGUGUAUAAACAAAAUUUGACACAAUUCUCCCUAAGAACGUCAUAUAACUAGCGAAAGCUCAUUAAAUAGUUCCGUCAGUGUAACUUCUGAGAUAAAUUGCUAUGACACAUGUCAAGCGUAAAGUCAAAAAGCAGGAUAGUACAACCAAAAACCAAUGUUGAUGAAUAUACAAAAUAAGAAAUAUGAAGUUAAAUAAAUACCUGAAUCGUACAAUAAAU